GCCCCUUCUUAAUAUUCUAUUUUGAGGCAAGGUCUCACAAAUUUGCCAAGGGUGGCCUUGAACUUGUGAUUUUCUGGCCCUAGCUUCUGAAGUCACUGGAAUUACUGAACAUGCACCAGUACACCUGGCCCCAAAGUAAUGAUUUUGAAAGUGAAUAAAAAUAAGUGCAAUUAGAGUUUUUUUACCACCCUCUCUCCCCCCAGUAACAAUUUCUUCUUGUGCAAACAUUUUGCCUCUGUGCUUUUAGCAGGUCUAACCACAGGCCUGGGAAGAGAGCACAGGGGUAGAGCAUGGAGAUAUCUCCCAUGAGGAGGAAGGGCUUUUAUUCUUGUCCCAGCCUUUGUCCCACCAUGGUGGCUCCUGACCAUCUCAGUCCCCGGGUGGUGGGUGGGAGUAUAACUGAAGUUUUUUUUUUCCUUUUGCUCAUUGGUGUAUUUUUUCUUUUAAAGUUUUUUAAAUGCCCAUGCAGUAUUUCUGCAGUCACUUAUGUUUUCAAUUGUAAAAGAGCACAAUUGGCUCUGUGCUGGGCAGGUUGCUGCUGAGAAGGCCUGAGAAUGCUGAGCACAAAAGCAUGUCCACUAUCUCCAGGGAAGUGGGGAGGGACGGACAGGGGUCACCACUGUGGCCUGGGCGGCUCUGAACUGUGACCUCCAAACACAGAGGGAAUUGGUGGUGGUGGAGAUACACUCUUGCCUCAUGGACACCAGUCAUGCUGGCUUUGGCCACUGUGCUAGGAAGGUCAGGAAGAGCAGCCCCACUUAGCACCCAGUGUGGAGCAGAGGGACAGUGAUGACUCCCUGUCCUGUCUUCUUCUCCACCCUUUGUGUGGCACUACCCAAUGUUUCUGGUAGAAUGGAGCAUGGAUUUUCUACAUCCCAAUGCCAAAGAAGUGACUCAUCCAGGGUGAGCAUGGGGAGACAGAAAGCUGGGUCCCAGAGUCAAGCUGGGGGCUGGUGGUGGUGCUUGAAAUCUAUACCUGAGGAUGCCUGGCAUUUGGUGCUAGGAGGGGAGAAAUACUAGAUAGGGCCACUGGGUGCUCUGGAAGGGGACAGAUGAGGGGCUGAAUCACACGCCACAAUCCUAAGGAGGUGGUUCCAGAUGUGAGAGGUGCAGGUGGCUUGGGUGCAUUUCUGGAGCUAAAAACUCCAGACCAACUCAUGUAGAUGUGGGUCUCUGAGGCCAGCCAGGGUCCCCAACUUUACCUGCCUGAUGUUUCCACAGCCUACAAGGAGAAGAUGGAGGAGCUCCCACUUGUGUCCCUGUUCUUCUUCUGCUUCCUGGCUGACCUUCUGAAUAAGUCAUCUUACAUAUAUGAAGCAGACACAAUGGACCUGAACUGGUGCGUCAUCUUGGACAUGGAAGUCAUUGAACUGAACAAAUGCACCUCAGGCUAGUCCUUCAAAGUCAUCCUGAAGCCACCUUCCUUUGAUGGGAUGCCCGAGUUCAAUGCCUAUUUUCACUGGCGGCAAGACCCAUCACUGGAAGAGAUCCAGAAGAAACUAGAAGUGGCCG